AGCUGGCUUGAGAGGAUGAUCAGCCACACUGGGACUGAGACACGGGCCAGACUCCUACGGGAGGCAGCAGUGGGGAAUCUUAGACAAUGGGGGCAANCCUGAUCUAGCCAUGCCGCGUGAUCGAUGAAGGCCUUAGGGUUGUAAAGAUCUUUCAGUGGGGAAGAUUAUGACGGUACCCACAGAAGAAGCCCCG
rnacentral:rRNA from 1 species